rnacentral:rRNA from 1 species
UCCUUGUCGGGUAAGUUCCGACCCGCACGAAAGGCGCAACGAUCUGGGCACUGUCUCAACGAGAGACUCGGUGAAAUUAUAGUACCUGUGAAGAUGCAGGUUACCCGCGACAGGACGGAAAGACCCCGUGGAGCUUUACUGCAACCUGAUAUGGAAUGUUUGUACCGCUUGUACAGGAUAGGUAGGAGCCGAAGAGACGUGUGCGCUAGCAUACGAGGAGGCAAUGGUGGGAUACUACCCUGGCUGUAUGACCAUUCUAACCCGCCACGCUUAGCGCGUGGGGAGACAGUGUCAGGUGGGCAGUUUGACUGGGGCGGUCGCCUCCU